rnacentral:lncRNA from 1 species
GGGCUUUGCUUUGGAGUCUCGGGCGGUGGCAGCUCCGAUUCCACAGCCUGAAGACUAUGAGCUCGGAGGGUCCGCGAAGGGCCGCCCGGCCUCGGCCCCCGCCUCCUGCGCGUCGCCUGACAGCAUUACCGUUUCCACAGUGACAGCGUUUCCUCCGGCGGCCCUCCCGCCGCCUCCAGGGCCAUGGCUUCGUCCCGGGCACCCCUUCCGCACGUCACUUCCGGAAGCGACUCGCUCUGACGCCGUCCGCCCUCGUUGCCAUGGAGACGCUUGCGCUUUCCCGGGCCGCACUUCCCACCCGGGUCUUCAGAAGCCCGUGGCCGCUGGGUGAGCCCCUGCGUGAACGCACACGCACGCACACGGCUUCAGGUUGCCCCGCGGCGCCGCGCGCGAUAUCGGCUCGGAUCCCGGGAGGCCGUCCGCCCCUUUUUCAGCGGAUAGCUGAGGCCAGGUAAGUGACCGCGCGAGGACCCGGGAACUCCGUGACGCCCGUCCCGCCUCUGCUGUCCCCGCCGCAAGCGCUGCGCUCUGCACGGCGAGAGGGGCCUCUUGCCCUGUUGAGAGCCGGCGGGCACGGCACUUCUGCGCUUGGAAAAGGGUGGUCCAGCACUGCAGGUCCCACUCCUUGGCCCGGUCAGCGUCCGCCUUUGCUGAACCCCGAAAGGAUUCACCAGGUCCAGGACAGCCCGGCAGUUGCCUCAGGAGCACUUACUGAGCGCCUGUCGUUGACGCCCCCACCUCGAUGGCAGCUCAGGGGUGCCCUCAAGCUUUUGAGGGCAGGUGUCGUGUAUUUAAAUUCUUCACAGUUUAGCGGGCUGGACUCACGGGGGUGCUGCAGACUUGGACGGGGUUUCAUCUGGGUCGGACCUUGCUGGGCAGAAAGCUUCUCCUACCAGACAAAGUACGGCGACCUUGGGGGGUCUUGGUUCUUACCUCGUGUUCCUCAUUGAAUGAGUGUUGGUUCAGUGCUCUCGCUGUGCCAGGUGUUGUGCGAAGUACUGUGAGGGAGAAUAUGUAUUUAUUUGUGGGGAGCCGACUUUAAACCGGUGGUUGGGAAAGGCCUGAGAGGCGAUAUUGAAGACACCUGAAGGGUGAGUGAAAGAGCACGGCGGGUGAGUGGAGCAGCUUUCUCGUGCAGGUCCCGGGGUGGGAAAGAGGUUGGUGUAUUUGAAGCACUGAAAGGCAGCCACUGAAGCUGAAGUGUAGCAGUUUAACCCAUGGUUUUAUAUUCUCCUGGGAGGAUUCAGAAGGGUGUAUGUGUGUAUGUAUAUAUAAUAGCCUGAAUAUAAACGUCAAGGGUGUUAGGUUUUGAAGGGAAGGUGAAGGUUAAAGAAUGACGCACAGUGAGAUUGCCGGCGCGCGGGCGGCUCUACAGCAACACAGGUGUAUUGCAAACACCUGUCGGGGGCCAGCUUAAUGCCAGAGCCCACCAGCGAUUACAGGCUGGGGUACUCAUAGGCCUGGGCAGGAGGGAUCUAGGCAGUAUGGCUUGCUGUCCGGGAAGAUGUUAACGUGUUCCCAGGAUGAGGUGGUUCCGGCAGAAUGUGGUGUUCCUGGCGCUUUGUCCCAGCAGAAUAUGUUAAGAGGCAGGCUGUUUCUCAUGGCUCGAACCCCCGUGGAAUGUUUCACUUUGACCAAGGUCUACAAAAUGGAAAGGGGCUUACAAAAUGACGCAGUUUGGACUAACAAAGGGGAAAAUACAGAGGAUGAAAUUAGACUCUAGAGGUUGAGGCUCAGGAAAGGCUUCAUACAGCUUUGGGAACUGACAAGGCUUUGAAAGCAGGGUCAGUUUUCAGCGAAUGAGCGUCACCCACUGCACCCUGCGCACCCUGCUCCCCUGCUGCGGUGUCUUUCCCACCAGAGUGUAGCAGGACAAGCCGCAGACAAAACCCCUCAGACACCGAGUUAAAGAAGGGCUUUAUUCAGCUGGGAGCUUCGGCAAGACUCACGUCUCCAACAACCGAGCUCCCCGAGUGAGCAAUUCCUGUCCCUUUUAAGGGCUCACAACUCUUCAGGGGUCUGCGUGAGAGGGUCGUGAUUGAUUGAGCAAGCAGGGGGUACGUGACUGGGGGCUGCAUGCACCCGUAAUUAGAACGGAACAGAACAGGACAGGGAUUUUCACGGUGCUUUUCUAUAUAACGUCUGUAAUCUAUAGAUAGCAUCACUGAUUAGGUCAGGCGUCGAUCUUUAACUACCAGGCCCAGGGUGUGGUGCAGGCUGUCUGCUUGUGGAUUUCAUUUCUGCCUUUUAGUUUUUACUUCUCUCUUUGGAGGCAGAAAUUGGGCGUAAAACAAUAUGAGGGGUGGUCUCCCUUAUUCUCCCUCUCUGAGAAUCUCACUCAGUAGUGGGAGUUGUCACUUUUAUUUUUACUACCUAUGUUUUCUUGCAAGACAGAUCGAUAGUGAUUCAUAUAGUACAGUUGUGCUGAAGCAUUUUGGUGAACUAAGGUAGCGAUGAAGCUUUUUAUCAUUUGAAGAAGUAUGGGUAGCAAACAAGGGAGCAGAACGCAGGUUUCUAUUGCUAUUGUAACUCCUAAUAUAAGAGUUUUAAAUCUUUUUAGUGCUGGGAACCAUUUUCCAAACAUGGCCCCAGGACCAAAUCCAUGCCACACUUGCACGGGCACAUGUGCCAGUUUUGUCAUAUUUCUAACUGUGUCUUCAACUAAUUGCCCUCGAUCAUCUAUGUGUAGACAGCAAUUAGUAAGGUUAAAUUUUUUACAGACCUCUCCUUCAGCUGCUAGCAAGUAGUCGAGAGCCAAUCUAUUUUGAUAGAUAGCAUUUCUCAUCUGAGUUUCUUGCCAGGCCAGAAUAGUCAAGGCUCUGCCGGUCUUAUUAGUGAUUAUUUCUAAGACAGCUUGUAACCGUAUGAUUCGGUUGAGCAUGUAAAUGGGGGUCGGGUAUCCCUAGGAGCCAUCUUGUGCCUAAGUACCAGGCCCAUAAUAUUGUAUGAUUCUUUCAGGGGGCCAUGUAUUAUCUUUUGAAUUUUUUAUAGCUAUGCUUCUCUUUUUGCGGGAAGCACAGACAGGGAAGCCCAGGAGUUCGCCUGUCUUUAUGGGCAGUAGGAAGAAAGAUGGUUUAAUAGUGCCAAUAACAUGACUACCUGCCCACUGGUCGGGUAAUUUGGUGUAAACUCUAUGCCUACAUAUCCAGUAUAAUCCAGUGGGGGCUGUCCAGUCCCUGUGGGACUCCGGGUGGGUUCACACAGUUUGCAACUUUGGGAAUUUACUAAAUGGAUUUUUCUUAGUGUGGUUUGAACUCCACUAGGUGGCUGUUUUUGUAGUAGUAUUAUACAGUUUUUGCCUAAGCAGCUGAGUCUUCCCACAGGAAAGGUGAAGUCCUUCCCCACUCUUGCUAUAUACAGUAUUGUCUAAUGAUUGAGGCUUUUAGGACCCAGAAGUUAUCAGGGUGAUUCUUUUGAGCCGGGAAUUCAUCAGGAACUGGGUCUGUAGGUACUAAUUCUCGGGCUUCCCGUGGCCAUUGAUCUCCCAUUACAGUUCGUCCACACACAUAACAUGAAGUGACAUUGAGAGACUGGGCCACAUGCUCGGCUAAUUGCAAAAACAAAUGUCUUGUUUUUCCUGGAAUUUCUGGUGCAGGCACAUUCAGUUGAUCAUAGAAGGUUUGAAAUACUGUCUCAGGAGAGCGUUUAUAAAUUUCUCCUCAAACCAUGAUAUUUACUCAAGGAUCCAGUUCAGCCCCAUUGAUUCCUAGGGUUACAUGCUCCCCUUUUUUCCAGCGAGGAUCAAGGGGGUUGGUUAUUACUAGUUCUAAGGGGUUACACUGACCACUGGUACAGGAAGGGCCACUUUUUCCUUUUUGAAGGUGGACAGGAUCCUUUUUAUUUUUUAUUUAAGUAGCCUAAAUGACACAAGACCAGUAUUUACAUUUAUUUCCACACAGUUUUAAUUUAUGACAAAUGUACUUAUUUUUUGUCAUAUGGCCUCUUUUCUAAUUAAGGGAACCACAUUCUAUUUUUAACUUAUUACUAUUAAUGACAGCACAGGCAUCAAACUUUAAAGUGACUUGUUUGGGCACCCCUUUUUCUUUCAUUUUGGCUAACACUUUACUCGUAUCGUUUAUGAGUCCCUACCAGUCCUCAGUCCUUAAUCUUAUUUCAAAAGCUGUGGUCAUGGGAGACUCAGGUCAUAACACACAUCAGGUUGGUCAUUUCUUGGGCUACAUACCUUGCAUAGAAUAGCAUUAUACAAACUUUUUUUUUUUUUAGAGUCCUGGUACACUUACAAUAAUCAUAAAAUAAUAGGACUGUGGCAACUUUUUGUCCUACCUCAGUGACUUGAUGUAUACACUGGGAACAGUCCUCAGUCUGAGGAAGGUCAGUUGAAGUCCUUACUGUACAAGUCCAAAUUUUAAGGAAAAUGAGUCCCACGAUGAGUUUUCUCAUGCUUCGGCCGUGUGUGGACCAGUCAGCUUCCAGUUGUGACUGGAGCAGGGCUUGUCGUCUUCCUCAGAGUCACUUUGCAGGGGCUGGCGAAGCUGCUUCCGUCCACGUACCACUCACAGCCUACUGAUGUUCAAGGAUGGUCUCGGAGGUUGCGCCUGCUAGAAUAAACUGAGUCCAACACCUCUACACAGUUAUGUUCAACUGGGCUCUCUCAUAUCAGGAGCAAGGUGGCGGGGUUUAGCGUGUUGCAAACUGCAGUGGUUAUGUGGGGAUUUUCACGUAGCAAGCUUUGGUACUUGGUUAAUCUAGCAUUUGUUAACCAGUGAUGACCUUUGGUAGUCAUUAAAGUUACCACAGCGUGGGGGGCCUUUAUAUUCAGGUUUUGUCCAAGGGUUAGUUUAUCUGCUUCUUGUGCUAACAGGGCCGUUGCUGCCAGGGCCCUUAGACACGGGGGCCAGGCUUUGGAAACCCCGUCUAGUUGUUUUGAGAGAUAGGCCACUGGCCUUAGCCAGGGUCCCACAGUCUGGGUUAAAACUCCAACUGCAUUUUUUCUCUUUCUGACACAUAGGGUGUAAAGGGUUUUGUCAGGUCUGAUAGCCCCAGGGCUGGGGCCUACGUUUUUCUUUUAACUCAUGAAAAGCUUGUUGCUGUUUGUUGUAAUAGAUGUAGUUUAUCCAAUUUACAUUUUUAUUAACUGUCAUCUACCAAAAUAUUGACUCAAAUCCUGCCGCUAUUUGAUUUCAAGUUUUAAAUUGAUCUAGUAUUCCCCGUGGGACUCCAAUUGCGUCUAAAUGGAAAUGAGAGUCGAAAGACCCAUAAGGGGCUUCUCUUGCUUUACGAUGUCUUAUUUUUCCUCCCUCUGGUUGAUGGAAUGCCAGGGUGAAAGGGAUAGCCAAUCGGACUAAAGUACAAGCGCCACUCCAGUUAUUCGGCAGAGUGCCCAGUAAAGGUCCACCACAAUACCACCACACAUCCGCUCACAUCCACUCAGGGAUGAACAAGGGCUGGCUGAUUGAUAGGCUCUUGAAAAUUUUUAAGCUCACUGCAUCCCUUCAGGUUUCCAAGGAAUGCUAAGUUUCCUCCCUGUCAUGAGAGACACGAAGUGAACUUAGUAUUGGGAGACGGCGGCUCGAUGGCCCUCGGGGGCUGACCCGCAAGGCGCCAGACUUUCGGAUACAGCAGAGAGAGCUUGGCACAACUUAUUACUCCAGGCUGUAGAAUCCUGGAGAAGAGCUACCAUGCAGCCACACCUGGUCGACUGGAGGACCACCUUAGUGGAAAGGGGACAAUCAGGACCUCUGGCCUGCCAUGUGCACAAGCGUAACAGUUGCUUUUGUUUAACGUGCGGAUGGAAUAUUUGAUCCAUUUCAACCAGGCAUUUGCAUCUUGGUAUGCUGUCUUAAUUGCCAAAGUUUGUUUUAAGUCUUUAACUAAUAUGAACUUCUAGUAAAAUGAAUGUAUGAUUUUGGGAAAUUACAAAAACUGGUUGGGGCAGUCCAUUCUUGCUCUUUAGUGGUCCACAGAAUGUUGGACCAACUACGGCAUAAAAGCUCUACAUUGGGGAGCAAGACUCCUGGUUGACACUGGAGUCUUUAUUGAAAUUCCCCCGGAUUAAAUGGUCCUAAUUUACUAAUGCCCAGUCUGAGGAGAGUCAGGAGGGACAGAAGUACUUUUCUGAAGUAGAGAGCUGUCUUCGACUUGGCAAGUCCCCACAGGGUAUAACAAGACAAGCAUUAAAUGCAAUAGUUUGAGGUGAAAUUGAUUUGGUUGUGUUAAUAACCAGAUGGUCAGCAAUAGAGCGAGGAAAGAAGAAAGAGUAAUAGAAUAGAUAAAAGAGUUAAAUAUUUCUUAGCUUUAGUUUGGUAGGGUUUUCCCCUUGGACUGGGGCCCACGACUCCGGAGGGGGUGGAGCUUUGACUCGGGUGUGAUGAGUCCAUCCCUUUUCCACUGUAGGGACAGCAGUCUCGGUGGUUAGCAGCACAAGGUCGGGUCCUUCCUAGGCUGGCUUGUUUUCUUUCCUCCCUUUGUUUUCUUUCUUUCCUUUGAUAAGAAAAACUUUUCCUUUGAAAAAUUUGUUUUCUUUCCUCCCUUUGAUAAGAAGGUGAUCUUCAGGCUGGUGCUGGUUUACUGGAAAUUCUAGGGCUGGCACCUGUGCUAAAAGGCUUUUAGUUUUGAGGGAAAGGAAAGUGGAAGACAAACCAAGUAUAUAAUUUCUAAGAAAUUGAUUUUUUGUUUCAAAUGUGGGGACAUCAAGAGUGGACUUUAUAGGCUUUGGUGCCUUUUUACUGAGAAAUUUCCUUUACCACCUAUUUUUAUUAGUUUUUGGACCAAAGAAAGCCAAACACUGUUUUAUAUUUAAUAAUGCUUUCUGUAUGAUUUUUAUACCAGAUAAGCUAAAUUUCACCUUUAUAUUAGUGUGCUAUUAAUGUUAAACUUAGUUUUAAUAAAACUUUGUAUACAUAUUUAUUCAAUUUUUAAUGUCAGACCGUAAGGUAAGAUUUUUAUAGACUCUUUUUAACCUUUUAUAAUCUUUGUUAAAGAGCAAGUUAGUGCUUUAAGAAAAACCCAUUGUGUUUUUACUUUAAUGUCCAGUUCACAGAAAAACUGGAUGAUACCCCUUUAACUUUAGCUAAUACGUUUACACACAGAAUUUUUUUAUAAUUAAUGUUUUAAAACUUGCUUAAACCUUCAAAACAAUUUUUUUAACCUUUUAAUCUAGGUAAAAAUUUACAUUCUUAUGCCUUCUUAUAAUCCUUUUACCAAAGGUAUAUUUACUUUUCUUAUACACCUUGUGUUAGCGCCUCCGUGUGAAAAGCCCACCAAACAGGCUUUGUGUGAGCAACAAGGCUGUUUAUUUCACCUGGGUGCAGGCGGGCUGAUUCUGAAAAGAGUCAGCAAAGGGUGGUGGAUUAUCAUUAGUUCUUACAGGUUUGGGGUAGGCGGUUGGGUUAGGAGCAAUGUUUUGCCGGCAGGGGGUGGAUCUCACAAAGUACACUCUCAAGGGUGGGGAGAAUUACAAAGAACCUUCUUAAGGGUGGGAGAGAUUACAAAGUACAUUGAUCAGUUAGGAUGGGGCAGAAACAAAUCACAAUGGUGGAAUGUCAUCAGUUAAGGCUAUUUUCACUUCCUUUGUGGAUCUUCAGUUGCUUCAGGCCAUCUGGAUGUAUAUGCAGGUCACGGGAUAUGAUGGCUUAGCUUGGGCUCAGAGGGCUGACAUUCCUGUCUUCUUAUAUUAAUAAGAAAAGCAAAACAAAAUAGUGGUGAAGUGUUGGAGCAGUGACAAAUUUUGGGGGUGGUAUGGAGAGAUAAUGGGCGAUGUUUCUCAAGGCUGCUUCGAGCGGGAUCAGGGGCGGUGUGGGAACCUACAGUGGGAGAGAUUCAACUGAAGAAAGAUUUUGGGGUUGUUAGAAGGAGCAUUUGUCAUAUAGAAUUACUGAUGAUGGCCUGGAUGCGGUUUUAUAUGAAUUGAGAAACUAAACGAAAGACACAAGGUCCGAAUAAAAGAAGGAGAAAAAUAGGUAUUAAAGGACUAAGAAUUGGGAGUACCCAGGACGUCCAAUUAGAGAGUGUCCAAGGGGGUUCAAUGUUAUUGUUUGCUUGGUUGGCGAGCUUUUGGGCUCUAUCCUUGAGUUUUUUUAUGUUGUCAUAUAGCAGGCCAGAUUGAUUUAGGUAAAAACAACACUCUUCAUUUAAAAAUAUACAGAGUCCUCCUUUUUCAGCAGUGAGUAAAUCGCGGCCUUGGCCGUUCUGGAGGACAACUGCAGCUAAAGAGUUAACCUGGGCUUGGAGAACAGAUAAAGUUUGUGAUCUAUCUGUAGUGCUAGCAGAGAAGUCAUUAGAGAGGCUGCGGACUGUUGUGACAGAGGUUGAGAUGCCUGCUAUUCCAGUUCCAAGUGCAAUACUGGAGGCAGAAAGUCCUAGACCAAUAAGUAAAGGGAUUAGUGGGAUGACUCUUUUUUGUUGUGUUGAUGUCAUGAGGGGGACAGGCAGUUGUUCGUUCCCAUCUGCAAACUGGAUUUUGGAGGUAAGGAAGACUAGAGUACAUGUGCCCAUCCAUUUGGCAGGUAGGCACAUGUAGGUGGAAGAGCCACAUAAAAAGAAGAGACCUUGUGUCAGGCAGAACUGGAAAUGUAAAGUGAAAAGGUGAGAGGGUGUACUGAAAGAGGAAUCCUGCAUCCAGAAUCCUAGCGAUCCAGCAAGGGCAGCAGCCGUUAGAGGUUGUAAUGGGGAUUGAUGGUGCAACUGCGUAGAGGGAGGGGUUUGGUUUUCAUGGUGUAUGAGAAAGCGCAUAGUGUCUACAAGUAACCUUUCGCUGCUAUUCAUGGGGCAGGGUAUAAGCAAGCAAGAGGAGGGGCUAGGAGGAGAUUCAGACGAGCAGGGGAGGGUGGUAGCCAAGGAUGGGGUGAGAUGCAGGGUAGGUGUCUUCCUAAACAAUAGUGACUGCCAAUGUUUUUUAGUUUGUCAAUAAUGAUAGAGGGCUUGUCAGUAAUGCGAAGUUGGAAUGCUCCCAUCUGUUUGGUAAUGUGUGUGGCUGGGUUCUGGAGACAAAGAGUAAAGGAACAUUUGGACGGUGGAAGGUUGCCUAAAGGGAUUC